GACAUAGGUGGCAAACGUUUAUCCGGAUUUAUUGGGGCGUAAAGGAUGCGUAGAUGGUGGAAUAAGUUAUUGGCAGAAGUCGAGCUCAACUUUGACGGAAGUUAAUAAUACUGUUCUACUUGAGGACAGAAGAGGUUGGCGGAACUUUUAUGAGUAGGGGUGAAAUCCAUUGAUUCAUACGGGACCACCAAAGAGGCGAAGGCAGCUAACUAUUUCUGCUCCUGACAUUGAGGCAUGAAAGCGUGGGGGAGCAAAAACGG
rnacentral:rRNA from 1 species